GACGAACGCUGGCGGCGUGCUUAACACAUGCAAGUCGAACGGAAAGGCCCUGCUUUUGUGGGGUGCUCGAGUGGCGAACGGGUGAGUAACACGUGAGUAACCUUCCCUUGACUUUGGGAUAACUUCAGGAAACUGGGGCUCAUACCGGAUAGGAGCUCCUGCUGCAUGGUGGGGGUUUGAAAGUUUCGGCGGUUGGGGAUGGACUCGCGGCUUAUCAGCUUGUUGGUGGGGUAGUGGCUUACCAAGGCUUUGACGGGUAGCCGGCCUGAGAGGGUGACCGGCCACAUUGGGACUGAGAUACGGCCCAGACUCCUACGGGAGGCAGCAGUGGGGAAUAUUGCACAAUGGGCGGAAGCCUGAUGCAGCAACGCCGCGUGCGGGAUGACGGCCUUCGGGUUGUAAACCGCUUUCGCCUGUGACGAAGCGUGAGUGACGGUAAUGGGUAAAGAAGCACCGGCUAACUACGUG
rnacentral:rRNA from 1 species